rnacentral:tRNA from 1 species
CCGGCGCGGCCGGACUUGGGUGCGGCGAGGUCGCUGCGGACGACCCGCUGCCAGCCGGGGCCGUCGCCCAGGCGCCGGU